rnacentral:rRNA from 1 species
AGAGUUUGAUCCUGGCUCAGAUUGAACGCUGGCGGCAGGCCUAACACAUGCAAGUCGAGCGGAUGAUGGGAGCUUGCUCCUGGAUUCAGCGGCGGACGGGUGAGUAAUGCCUAGGAAUCUGCCUGGUAGUGGGGGACAACGUUUCGAAAGGAACGCUAAUACCGCAUACGUCCUACGGGAGAAAGCAGGGGACCUUCGGGCCUUGCGCUAUCAGAUGAGCCUAGGUCGGAUUAGCUUGUUGGUGAGGUAAUGGCUCACCAAGGCGACGAUCCGUAACUGGUCUGAGAGGAUGAUCAGUCACACUGGAACUGAGACACGGUCCAGACUCCUACGGGAGGCAGCAGAAGGG